UAGGGAAUCUUCGGCAAUGGACGAAAGUCUGACCGAGCAACGCCGCGUGAGUGAAGAAGGUUUUCGGAUCGUAAAACUCUGUUGUUAGAGAAGAACAAGGACGUUAGUAACUGAACGUCCCCUGACGGUAUCUAACCAGAAAGCCACGGCUAACUACGUGCCAGCAGCCGCGGUAAUACGUAGGUGGCAAGCGUUGUCCGGAUUUAUUGGGCGUAAAGCGAGCGCAGGCGGUUUCUUAAGUCUGAUGUGAAAGCCCCCGGCUCAACCGGGGAGGGUCAUUGGAAACUGGGAGACUUGAGUGCAGAAGAGGAGAGUGGAAUUCCAUGUGUAGCGGUGAAAUGCGUAGAUAUAUGGAGGAACACCAGUGGCGAAGGCGGCUCUCUGGGCUGUAGCUGACGCUGAGGCUCGAAAGCGUGGGGAGCAAACAGG
rnacentral:rRNA from 1 species